AUGGGAUAAAGCAACAAUUUUGGAUCUAAAUACCGCAGAUUGUCAACGUUAAAAUAAACACCGCCUGAAAAGCAAUUUCCCAAGCUGAAUUCUCCAAAAAGAACAAAUGUAGAGAAACCUACCGCAACGAAGGACAUUAUAUCACUCUAAAUGUUUUGACUUGUGUGAUGAUCUUCAUUUUAUCUUUAAUCAUGAUUUUCUUUUUCUU